UCGGCAACGGAUAUCUCAACUCUCGCAUCGAUAAAUAACGUAGCGAAAUGCGACACUUGGUGUGAAUUGCAGAAUCCCGUGAACCAUCGAGUCUUAGAACACAAGUUGCGCCCGAAGCCAUUACGUGGAGGGCAAGUCUGCCUGGGCAUCACGC
rnacentral:rRNA from 1 species